CCUACGGGAGGCAGCAGUGAGGAAUUUUCCGCAAUGGGCGAAAGCCUGACGGAGCAAUACCGCGUGAGGGAUGAAGGAUUUUGGUCUGUAAACCUCUUUUCUCAAGAAAGAAGUUCUGACGGUACUUGAGGAAUAAGCAUCGGCUAACUCCGUGCCAGCAGCCGCGGUAAUACGGGGGAUGCAAGCGUUAUCCGGAAUGAUUGGGCGUAAAGCGCCUGUAGGUUGUUUAUUAAGUCCGUUGUUAAAGCCUAGGGCUCAACCCCUAGAAAAGCAAUGGAAACUAGUAGACUAGAGUAUGGCAGGGGUAGAGGGAAUUUCUAGUGUAGCGGUGAAAUGCGUAGAUAUUAGAAAGAACACCGGUGGCGAAAGCGCUCUACUGGACCAUUACUGACACUCAGAGGCGAAAGCUAGGGUAGCAAAAGGGAUUAGAUACCCCUGUAGUCCUAGCCGUAAACGAUAGGAUACUAGAUGUUGUGUCUAUUAUUAGUACGUAGUAGUACGUAGUACGUAACGUACGUUAACGUUACUACCGUCCGUCGGGUAGGUACGGUCGUCGUCGAGGUAGGUAAACGUUAAAAGGUAAAGUUAGUACGGUCGUGAGACGUCGCCGAACGGACGACCGACGAGGGAGGUAGG
rnacentral:rRNA from 1 species